CUCACAUUUCACUCGUAUCGACGGGAAAACGGUAUUCGAAGCAACAUCGACCUUGGCUCAGGAGUACAUUGCGCACAGUCCAGUCUGACACUAGUGGCUUUGUUAGUCUGGUUAUAAACAAACAGAAUAUUAUUUUAAUCAUUUUGUCAUAGCUUAUUACUAAUGAAAUACAAGUUGGAUUUAGCGCUGUGACGCUGACAAAGGCAAGUGUAGGAUACUUUUUAAUUUGCCAGAACAUGUCAUAAGGACAAAUGCCUUCUUUCAAGUGUCAUAGUAAUCCCUUGGGUGAGAAUAAAAGGGUUAUGAGCAAUGUCCUGAAAAAUAUCUUAAAGUGGAUACUCAAAAUUGUAUUGUGCCUUCUUUUGCAGAGUGAGGACAUUGAUCUCAAGAGGGAGUGUGUCCUCUGUGUGUCUCCCUCAAUGAGGACAGCAACACUCUCAUCAAGGAGUACUUGAACGUCAACAGUGAGGAAGCUGAGCGAGAGAUCGCGCAGACCACCAUGGGCCUUUACAGGAUUAUCAAAGAAGGUGCUGAUAAAGAGGACAAGCCAAAGGAUGUUGGAGUGGUGAUCGAAGGUGUGGAGCUGCUAUGCAAUCUGAGAGGCAUUGCCUUUGGACGUGCCAUGCUCUUUGGCCUAAUUUACACUCUCAACCUGAGCUAUCCCUGAGAACUCAAAUUCACUUUUGAGUUCAUCCAGAAAGUGUUGAUGAACUUGGAUGGAAAGAAGUUGUCCCCAAAGGUCCAAACACUUAAAAUCAAGAUGCUUCAAUGAGCUCACAUGGUCAGCACUGGAGAGUUGAGCUAGCCACAUUUUGGCGUGUUGGACAUUGAUAUAUUGACCUGGUAAGACUGUAAAGAAGCUAGUGACUUACUAGUUUGUGGUACUGUUGUUAGGUUCACUGGAAAAGCUGUUAUGUGUUCUAAUUGUUGCAUUACCCAGGUUUAUCAAUACUCGUAUCCAUUUUAUUAAUGAUUAAUCCAUUUUGUAUUUUAUUAUUCAUCAUAAUCACAACUCUAAUUUUUAAGUUGUUGAUGUCAUAAUGCAUGGCUAGACUGGAUAUAUUGUAUACCUGUUUAACACUUCAUGACUAAAAUGUUGUUUUCUAAUUGUUCCAUUACCCAGGUUUACCAAUACUGGUAUCAGUUUUAUUAAUAAUUAAUCCAUUUUGUAUUACUAUUCAUCAUAAUGAUCAUAAUCACAACUCUAAUUUUUAAGUUGUUGGUGUCAUAUUGUGACUGUUUGGAUACCUGUUUAACACUUUUUUUUGGUAUUCGUCAAUAAAGCCUUCUGAAUUGUC